rnacentral:rRNA from 1 species
AGUGAACGCUGGCGGUAGGCCUAACACAUGCAAGUCGAACGGCAGCACAGUAAGAGCUUGCUCUUACGGGUGGCGAGUGGCGGACGGGUGAGGAAUACAUCGGAAUCUACUUUUUCGUGGGGGAUAACGUAGGGAAACUUACGCUAAUACCGCAUACGACCUACGGGUGAAAGCAGGGGAUCUUCGGACCUUGCGCGAUUGAAUGAGCCGAUGUCGGAUUAGCUAGUUGGCGGGGUAAAGGCCCACCAAGGCGACGAUCCGUAGCUGGUCUGAGAGGAUGAUCAGCCACACUGGAACUGGGCCACGGUCCAGACUCCUACGGGAGGCAGCAGUGGGGAAUAUUGGACAAUGGGCGCAAGCCUGAUCCAGCCAUACCGCGUGGGUGAAGAAGGCCUUCGGGUUGUAAAGCCCUUUUGUUGGGAAAGAAAAGCAGCAGGUUAAUACCCAGCGGUUCUGACGGUACCCAAAGAAUAAGCACCGGCUAACUUCGUG